ACGUAGGGCGCGAGCGUUGUCCGGAUUUAUUGGGCGUAAAGAGCUCGUAGGCGGUUCAUUGCGUCGUCGGUGAAAACUUGAGGCUCAAUCUCAAGCUUGCCGUCGAUACGGGUGGGCUGGAGUUCGGUAGGGGAGACUGGAAUUCCAGGUGUAGCGGUGAAAUGCGUAGAUAUCUGGAGGAACACCGGUGGCGAAGGCGGCAUCCUGGACCGGUAUUGACGCUGAGGCACGAAAGCCAGGGGAGCAAACGGGA
rnacentral:rRNA from 1 species